UACGUAGGGUGCGAGCGUUGUCCGGAAUUACUGGGCGUAAAGAGCUCGUAGGUGGUUUGUCGCGUUGUUCGUGAAAACUCACAACUCAAUUGUGGGCGUGCGGGCGAUACGGGCAGACUGGAGUACUGCAGGGGAGACUGGAAUUCCUGGUGUAGCGGUGGAAAUGCGCAGAUAUCAGGAGGAACACCGGUGGCGAAGGCGGG
rnacentral:rRNA from 1 species